GAUCACCUUGCCCCCCGGCCGCACCAUGUGGCCCCUCUGAUAGAUCUGGGACGCAGAACUCCGGCCGUUGACGUACAUCGUGGUUCGCCCCGUCAGCGACUCCCAGGUCAAACACACGUGGUUCGCCAGCGGUCCAAGCUCCGGAACCUCAAAGAAAGCCCCCGGUCCGCUCAGGUAGAGGGACAGCCUGGAAAAACCAACAAACACACGCUGUGAAAACAGAUGUGGACGAGUAUCAUCUCAGAAGAUCAUGUGUGUUCUCAAAGGGUGAAGGGAGACCCCAGAGAGCAAGGGAACAUUUGGAAUCCAGCAGCUCACCUGCCGUCUGUCUCGCGCCACACGUUGAGUUCGUCGAAAUACUGCGUGCGGUAGGCGAAGAGGAUGACCUCACGCUUCCCUUUGAGCUCCGUGGCGAACCUCAGGCAGAGCGUGAAGGCGUCCAGGCUGAGUGGCUUUGCGGGAGUCAGCUCCACGAGGCUGCUGGCGGUCUCCUCAGGAAACACCAGCGAGCGGCCUGCAGAUCAGCGAGGAGCAGCCGGUUAACAGGACCUUGUCUAACCUCAUCACCUUUAAUGUUGCUCCACCAUUUCCUGCAGAAAAUGUGCCAGUUCACCUCCACGGCAAGUCCCAACCAGACCCUCCGACACCCCAAGGUCGCGUCAGCGGCAGAGGGAGGGCGACCUUUUGGAUUACCUGGAGAGGUCCGAUGCUGCUGCGGCGGUUGCUUCUGAGAGAUUGAUGAUGGCGAAGAGGGAGGAUCAGAGCAAGCUCCUGUAGUUGUUAAGCAAGAUAGUGGAAAAGAUGUGAGGCGGGACCAACAAGACUUCUUUCUAUUUUAUUUUUUUAACUAUUUUAUUUGCAUGCAAUCUUUUAUUGACUUCGAACUCUAUAUUUUAGGUUAAAUUAACAUUUUGUUUCACUUUUAAUUGUACUGCACUCAAUCUUUUAUUGAAUUUUACUAUUUAAACUUUAUAUUUUAAAUUAAAUUAACCUUGUUAAUUUUCCUAGUUUGCUGUGUUUUGCUAGCCUGGCCAGACCAAACUCAAUCGUAGAUUGCAUGUUGGUCUGGGGAAGCUGCUGUCAUUUUUUUCAGCACAAGAGGCGGGAUCAACGGGCCUAGUUCAAAUGACUCUGUACGCAAUUGGCUGCUUGCCGUCGCUUCCCUGUCGUCAUUGUGUUAAACAAGCCAAUAGCGCGCCAGAGGAAAAAGCCAGCUUGGUGAUCGGCUCCUGCAAAAACGUAUCAGAAGCAAAAAGAAAUGUUUUGCUCCAGGGCGAAUUCAACUGGGGGCAGAACGGACUGGGGGCACCCAGUUUAGUGUUUUGCAUUUUUAUGGUGUCUCUUAAAAAGUCUGCUUGAAUGUCUCCCAAGCUUGUUCAGUUACAAUGGCACCUCACUGCAAAUGAGUUGUGGCCAAAGAUUUCUGUAAUUAGUUAAUUUACUGCUUCUUGCAUCAACAUUUGCAGAGCGAAUUACACAAAAACCGGACAGGUGUGUGGCAUUCUGUGUUGCUAAGCAAGUGAGGUAAUUGGAGGUUCAGUGUUUAACUUGUUAUAUUAUCACUAGGCUGUCCUACCCACCACUGAAUACAAAGUGUUAAGCUUUCAGACAGAUUCACUUAAAAUCUUUCUGGUUCUACAAUGUCAUUACUGUACUGUAAUACCCAAGCCUUUUCAUUUCCACCCAUUUAAUAAACUGGAUUAUAACAAAAGACACAUUUUAUGGUCUAACACUUUUAUUACAAAAUGCAGGAAUAAUGGAAGCAAUAUACAUCAUACAAGUAAAAUUCAGAAAAUGGGAAGUAGAUAGAAGCAUCUCUCAUUUAACGUAAUUAAAAAAUUGCCGGUACACCACUACUCGUUACCAGCUCCCUCUCUUGGACACCCUUCUGGGUGUUCAUCACAACCUAUCGUGGCACC